UACGAACCGUACAAACGUUAUUCGGAAUCACUGGGCUUAAAGGGUGCGUAGGCGGCCAUGUAAGUGGGGUGUGAAAUCCCUCGGCUCAACCGAGGAACUGCGCUCCAUACUGCAUGGCUUGAGGGAGACAGGGGUAAGCGGAACUGAUGGUGGAGCGGUGAAAUGCGUUGAUAUCAUCAGGAACACCGGUGGCGAAAGCGGCUUACUGGUCUCUUCGUGACGCUGAGGUACGAAAGCGUGGGGAGCAAACAGG
rnacentral:rRNA from 1 species